AGAGGAAGUAAAAGUCGUAACAAGGUCUCCGUAGGUGAACCUGCGGAGGGAUCAUUACACAAAUAUGAAGGCGGGCUGGAAUCUCUCGGGGUUACAGCCUUGCUGAAUUAUUCACCCUUGUCUUUUGCGUACUUCUUGUUUCCUUGGUGGGUUCGCCCACCACUAGGACAAACAUAAACCUUUUGUAAUUGCAAUCAGCGUCAGUAACAAAUUAAUAAUUACAACUUUCAACAACGGAUCUCUUGGUUCUGGCAUCGAUGAAGAACGCAGCGAAAUGCGAUAAGUAGUGUGAAUUGCAGAAUUCAGUGAAUCAUCGAAUCUUUGAACGCACAUUGCGCCCUUUGGUAUUCCAAAGGGCAUGCCUGUUCGAGCGUCAUUUGUACCCUCAAGCUUUGCUUGGUGUUGGGCGUCUUGUCUCUAGCUUUGCUGGAGACUCGCCUUAAAGUAAUUGGCAGCCGGCCUACUGGUUUCGGAGCGCAGCACAAGUCGCACUCUCUAUCAGCAAAGGUCUAGCAUCCAUUAAGCCUUUUUUUCAACUUUUGACCUCGGAUCAGGUAGGGAUACCCGCUGAACUUAAGCAUAUCAAU
rnacentral:rRNA from 1 species